UUGUCUAUCGAGUUCUUCUCAGAAGAAUCGGUAGGAAAAGUGGUGGUGACCUUGUUAGCUGGCCAACGGCGGACGGUUUGCCUUGAGCAAAUCAUUAUCAACGUCGCCCUUUGUGUCCCUUUGUCAUGGAACGCAUGAAUAAUUCACUCUCCUCGUCUCGUUCCUUUUAUGGCGAUAAGAUUUUCUCCUGGAUCUCUCAGCUUUGAGUGCGUUGGUUAGUAAAAUUCCAAUUCUACGAGUUGACAUCCCAACCCCCUAACUACAGCUAGUUAGAUUCUCCUGAGCCCACUGCUCUGAAACGCCAACAU
rnacentral:snoRNA from 1 species